rnacentral:rRNA from 1 species
AGCGAACGCUGGCGGCAGGCCUAACACAUGCAAGUCGAACGAAGCCUUCGGGCUUAGGGGCGGACGGGUGAGUAACACGUGGGAACGUACCCUGUGGUUCGGAAUAACGCCGAGAAAUUUGCGCUAAUACCGAAUGAGCCCUUCGGGGGAAGGAUUUAUCGCCGAGGGAUCGGCCCGCGCUGGGUUGGGUAGUUGUGGGGGUAAAGGCGCACCAAGCCUACGAUCCAUAGCUGGUCUGAGAGGAUGAUCAGCCACACUGGGACUGAGACACGGCCCAGACUCCUACGGGAGGCAGCAGUGGGGAAUCUUGCGCAAUGGGCGAAAGCCUGACGCAGCCAUGCCGCGUGAAUGAUGAAGGUCUUAGGAUUGUAAAAUUCUUUUACCAGGGACGAUAAUGACGGUACCUGGAGAAAAAGCCCCGGCUAACUUCGUGCCAGCAGCCGCCGUAACAC